rnacentral:rRNA from 1 species
UACAGAGGGGGCAAGCGUUAUUCGGAAUUAUUGGGCGUAAAGGGCGCGUAGGCGGCUUUUCAAGUGACGGGUGAAAUCCCUCGGCUUAACCGAGGAACUGCCUGUCAGACUGGAAGGCUUGAGACCGGGAGAGGUGAGUGGAAUUCCCAGUGUAGCGGUGAAAUGCGUAGAUAUUGGGAGGAACACCAGUGGCGAAGGCGGCUCACUGGACCGGUACUGACGCUGAGGCGCGAAAGCUAGGGGAGCAAACGGG